CAAAUCUUGGCGGUGGAUCACUCGGU
rnacentral:rRNA from 1 species